GGGGGGGGGGGGGGGGGGGGGGGGGGGGGGGGGGGGGGGGGGGGGGGGGGGGGGGGGGGGGGGGGGGGGGGGGGGGGGCGGGGGGGGGGGCGGGGGGGGGGGGGAGGGCGGCUGGGAAGGGGGGCUAAUGCGGCGGGGGCGGGGGGGCGACAGGAGAGAUCCGCCCAGGGAGGGGGGCGCGCCUGAGUCGGUAGUUGGUGAGGUAAUAGCUGACCAAGGCGAUGAUCAGUAGCUGUGCCGAGAGGAUGAUCAGCCACACGGGGACUGAGGCACGGCCCAGACUCCUACGGGAGGCAGCAGUGGGGAAUUUUCCGCAAUGGGCGAAAGCCUGACGGAGCAAUGCCGCGUGGAGGUGGAAGGCCUACGGGUCGUCAACUUCUUUUCUCGGAGAAGAAACAAUGACGGUAUCUGAGGAAUAAGCAUCGGCUAACUCUGUGC
rnacentral:rRNA from 1 species